GGGAGAGUAAAGAAGAGAGAGAAAGAAAGAAGAAAGGAAGAGGAGGAAGAAGAAAGAAUAAUGAAAAUCGACCGUAGAGCUUCACCAAAGCUAGGUCAUGGGAUUUUGAGCCCAGAUUUAUGAUCAACUCAUCGGGAUCUUCGAUUUGAGGAUUUGGAAGGAGUGCUGGUGAAAAUCUAGAAUAUUUGAAAAUUCUUGAGCAAAAGAAAUGAAAUUUGGGGUUUCAUUGGUGUUCUUAAGAAAGAGGUGAUUUUGUAAGUUAUCUGCCUAGAGAUCAAGAGGCGGGCCCCACUGUGGAGUUUCUCUCUAAGGACUGGUGGGUCCCUGAUGAGUUCGGGUAUUAUAUCAAUUGCACAUGUUAUUCACCUGGAGAUCAAGAGCUGGGCCCCACUGUGAAAUUUUUCUCUGAGGACUGGUGGGUCCUUGAUAAGUUCAGGUAUGGUGCCGAUUGCAUAUGCGAGGAUUGUACUACAUGGCAGCAGUGACUCCUGAGUGAUUCUUUUUUAUUCUUUUUUAUCUACUCCCUUUUGAUUUCUUGAUACUUAAAUUGUUAUAUUUUUAUAUAUAUAUCAUGCCUUCGGGCCCAAAUGUAUAUAACUUUUAUGACUCAAUUUAGAUAUCAAGCAUUUGGGAAACAAUUAUAGGUAUUAUUAUGAACAGGUC